CCACCUGUUCAAACACAACAUGGAGCAGUAUGGGGCCAUUUACGGGGUCAUUAUUGUAGCAAAACUAUUUACAAAUGUGUGUGGAGAGUUGUGUGACUGUAUCUCAAUCUGUGUGUGCGUAAUCAAAUUUGUAAAUGUGUAAAAUAAUCUGUAAAUGCCUACCGAGUUUUGUGAAUGUGUACAGGAAUCUGGAAACGUCUACUCAGAUUAUGUGUGUGCGUAAUCAGAAUUGUAUUUGUAAAAGAUUUGUAAGUGUACUGAGAUUUGUAAAUAAGUGGACAAAUCUGUAAAUGUGUAUACGGACAACUCAUCAGUUACAAUUCAGACGGGCCUCUCAAUUCGCUGUCUUUUAACACGCGACUUUUGCUACACUUUUACGGCAGCAGAGAUCUGUAUAUGCGUGUUGCAAAUGUGUGAGGAGAUUUGUAAGUUUUGACACCAGGCGGCAGUAGGACGCACACAUUUAAGCGUGAUAUGCACUGAUGGGCUGAUAACUUAGUGGUUUAAGGAAUGCCAUUUAAGUAUGUAUUAGAUAAAUAAAUAUGGCUCCCAGAAAAGCUUCUCAGAAUUAUUGAGAGGCUGCCAACCGCCUCGACGGGACGGUAUGGCUUCUAAUUCAGGACAGCCUGGCUUGCACAUCCAUUUGAUUCAGGAGAUAGAUGUACCAGGGUAAGUGUGAAGAACCGGUGCCCACUAACUGUUGACCGUUGUGUAGCUGGUCUAUACACCGUUGGAGGUGUGACAGGCAAUAAUGUCCAGCAGAACAGGUAGCCUAACCACCAACCCUUCUAUAAGAGCUCUGCAGACUACAAGGACAGACAAGGCCCAUUGCAACGGUUAACUGCCUGGAGCUCUACACUCUGUCCCCAAUUCUGGCCACCAGUGUUCUGGAUCACCAUGUUCCACC